UAAACGGAUGGGAUGACGAUCGGGUGGU
rnacentral:sRNA from 1 species